CCGAGUUAUACAACUCAUCAACCCUGUGAACAUACCUAUAACGUUGCCUCGGCGGGAACAGACGGCCCCGUAACACGGGCCGCCCCCGCCAGAGGACCCCCUAACUCUGUUUCUAUAAUGUUUCUUCUGAGUAAACAAGUAAAUAAAUUA
rnacentral:misc_RNA from 1 species